rnacentral:misc_RNA from 1 species
GAACGCACCUUGCGCUCCUUGGUAUUCCGAGGAGCAUGCCUGUUUGAGUGUCAUUAAAUUCUCAACUUCACCGAUUUGCUUCGAGUGAAGCUUGGACUUUGGAGCGUGCUGGCCCUCGAUUGGGUCGGCUCCUCUUUAAAUGCAGCAGCGGAGUCUUCUUUGACUUUUGUGCCAUCGGUGUGAUAAUCAUGUUGCGCCGUGGGCCCUGGGUCUCAGUCCGCUUACAAUCGUCUUCGGACAGCUUAUGAAACGCUUGACCUCAAAUCAGGUAGGACUACCCGCUGAACUUAAG